CAAAGCAGGUAACCUAGCAUCUUCAACGACGGACAGGCCUGCAUGCCACCAAUCAUCCAACAUCCCAAGGGAAAAUGCACACUUGCAGAGUUCCGGUCUCAAGGCACGAUCAUCUCACAAUCCAACAUAGGGGCAUUGCUUCUUUGCGUGUUCUGGGAUCAAUUUCGCGACAAUGUCUGCUGGGACUCCUUUCAGUUCUGCAGGACAGCAGAAAUGGGAAACGAUGUAAGUUGAUGAUACCAUCCAGAACUGAUUGUAACAGCUACAAGCCUACAAUACCAAUGGUGAAAUGAGUAAGCAUGAGACAU
rnacentral:lncRNA from 1 species